rnacentral:rRNA from 1 species
GAUGAACGCUGGCGGCGUGCCUAAUACAUGCAAGUCGAGCGAACAGACGAGGAGCUUGCUCCUCUGACGUUAGCGGCGGACGGGUGAGUAACACGUGGAUAACCUACCUAUAAGACUGGGAUAACUUCGGGAAACCGGAGCUAAUACCGGAUAAUAUAUUGAACCGCAUGGUUCAAUAGUGAAAGACGGUUUUGCUGUCACUUAUAGAUGGAUCCGCGCCGCAUUAGCUAGUUGGUAAGGUAACGGCUUACCAAGGCAACGAUGCGUAGCCGACCUGAGAGGAGGACGAUCCACACUGGAACCUAAUCACGGACAAAACUCCUACGGGGGGACGGAGUAGGGAAUCUUCCGCAAGGGGGGAAAGCCUGAUGGAGCAACGCCGCGUGAGUGAUGAAGGUCUUCGGUUCGUAAAGAUCUGUUAUUAGGGAAGAACAAAUGUGUAAGUAACUAUGCACCUCUUGACGGUACCUAAUCAGAAAGCCACGGCUAACUACGUG